AACUAUAAGGCGCCAUUAAAAGUCUUAAAUUGUCUCCAAAAUGGACAGGACGCCUUAUAAUGCGUAGCGUCUAGUGUAUGAGCGGAGUUCCAAAGCAUGACUGAGAGCGCUUCUGGCCGACACGCUGUUUAUAUAGAGAAAAGGCGGAGUGAGUGACGACAGGCAUGCAGAAGUCCGCCAAUGAGUGAAGGGUGAGCGUGUAAGAGGACGCUAAAGGCACGUCCCUAGCAGGUACCUGUCGCCAAUGAGUGAAGGGUGAGCGUGUAGGAGGUGAAGAGAAAAACGUGAGUAUAUUGUAAAAUGGCUAAAUAAAGUGCAACCGAACUCA